rnacentral:rRNA from 1 species
CAGCAGCCGCGGUAAUACGUAGGUGGCAAGCGUUGUCCGGAAUUAUUGGGCGUAAAGGGCUCGCAGGCGGUUUCUUAAGUCUGAUGUGAAAGCCCCCGGCUCAACCGGGGAGGGUCAUUGGAAACUGGGAAACUUGAGUGCAGAAGAGGAGAGUGGAAUUCCACGUGUAGCGGUGAAAUGCGUAGAGAUGUGGAGGAACACCAGUGGCGAAGGCGACUCUCUGGUCUGUAACUGACGCUGAGGAGCGAAAGCGUGGGGAGCAAAUGGGAUUAGAUACCCGCGUAGUCCCUGUCUCUUAUAC